rnacentral:lncRNA from 1 species
AAGAAAACUGCAAACAUAAUUCAAAAACUUAGAUCAUGAACGGUUUAAUGUUUUAGGAUCAAUAUCACUAAAAUUUCGUAACUGUAACAAAAGUAACGCUUACAUGAACUUAUCAUUUCGAAAAUGUUGCUUGACCCUAUUGAUAGUUGAAAGUGUUAACAACCUGUUCAGUCUAUUGUUUUCAAUCACAUGGUUUAACCGAC